rnacentral:rRNA from 1 species
GUUUACUUUGAAAAAAUUAGAGUGUUCAAAGCAGGCAUUUCGCCUGAAUAAUGGUGCAUGGAAUAAUGGAAUAGGACCUCGGUUCUNUUUUGUUGGUUUUCGGAACUUGAGGUAAUGAUUAAGAGGGACAGACGGGGGCAUUCGUAUUACGGUGUUAGAGGUGAAAUUCUUGGAUCGCCGUAAGACGAACUACUGCGAAAGCAUUUGCCAAGAAUGUUUUCAUUAAUCAAGAGCGAAAGUCAGCGGUUCGAAGACGAUCAGAUACCGUCGUAGUUCUGACCAUAAACGAUGCCAACUAGCGAUCCGCCGGAGUUGCUUCAAUGACUCGGCGGNCAGCUGCCGGGAAACCAAAGUCUUUG